UACGAGUGCCUCGAGCGUUAUCCGGAAUCAUUGGGCGUAAAGGGUGCGUAGGCGGCGUUGUUAGUCUCUUGUUAAAUUUCUCGGCUCAACCGGGAACCUGCGGGAGAAACGGCAAUGCUUGAGGUUGGAAGGGGUCUCUGGAACUCAUGGUGUAGCGGUGAAAUGCGUUGAUAUCAUGGGGAACACCAAAAGCGAAGGCAGGAGACUGGUCCAAAUCUGACGCUGAAGCACGAAAGCGUGGGUCGCGAAUGGG
rnacentral:rRNA from 1 species